GAUGAACGCUGGCGGCGUGCCUAAUACAUGCAAGUCGAGCGAACGGACGAGAAGCUUGCUUCUCUGAUGUUAGCGGCGGACGGGUGAGUAACACGUGGAUAACCUACCUAUAAGACUGGGAUAACUUCGGGAAACCGGAGCUAAUACCGGAUAAUAUUUUGAGCCGCAUGGUUCAAAAGUGAAAGACGGUCUUGCUGUCACUUAUAGAUGGAUCCGCGCUGCAUUAGCUAGUUGGUAAGGUAACGGCUUACCAAGGCAACGAUGCAUAGCCGACCUGAGAGGGUGAUCGGCCACACUGGAACUGAGACACGGUCCAGACUCCUACGGGAGGCAGCAGUAGGGAAUCUUCCGCAAUGGGCGAAAGCCUGACGGAGCAACGCCGCGUGAGUGAUGAAGGUCUUCGGAUCGUAAAACUCUGUUAUUAGGGAAGAACAUAUGUGUAAGUAACUGUGCACAUCUUGACGGUACCUAAUCAGAAAGCCACGGCUAACUACGUGCCAGCAGCCGCGGUAAUACGUAGGUGGCAAGCGUUAUCCGGAAUUAUUGGGCGUAAAGCGCGCGUAGGCGGUUUUUUAAGUCUGAUGUGAAAGCCCACGGCUCAACCGUGGAGGGUCAUUGGAAACUGGAAAACUUGAGUGCAGAAGAGGAAAGUGGAAUUCCAUGUGUAGCGGUGAAAUGCGCAGAGAUAUGGAGGAACACCAGUGGCGAAGGCGACUUUCUGGUCUGUAACUGACGCUGAUGUGCGAAAGCGUGGGGAUCAAACAGGAUUAGAUACCCUGGUAGUCCACGCCGUAAACGAUGAGUGCUAAGUGUUAGGGGGUUUCCGCCCCUUAGCGCUGCAGCUAACGCAUUAAGCACUCCGCCUGGGGAGUACGACCGCAAGGUUGAAACUCAAAGGAAUUGACGGGGACCCGCACAAGCGGUGGAGCAUGUGGUUUAAUUCGAAGCAACGCGAAGAACCUUACCAAAUCUUGACAUCCUUUGACAACUCUAGAGAUAGAGCCUUCCCCUUCGGGGGACAAAGUGACAGGUGGUGCAUGGUUGUCGUCAGCUCGUGUCGUGAGAUGUUGGGUUAAGUCCCGCAACGAGCGCAACCCUUAAGCUUAGUUGCCAUCAUUAAGUUGGGCACUCUAAGUUGACUGCCGGUGACAAACCGGAGGAAGGUGGGGAUGACGUCAAAUCAUCAUGCCCCUUAUGAUUUGGGCUACACACGUGCUACAAUGGACAAUACAAAGGGCAGCGAAACCGCGAGGUCAAGCAAAUCCCAUAAAGUUGUUCUCAGUUCGGAUUGUAGUCUGCAACUCGACUACAUGAAGCUGGAAUCGCUAGUAAUCGUAGAUCAGCAUGCUACGGUGAAUACGUUCCCGGGUCU
rnacentral:rRNA from 1 species